UGGGGGAUAACCCAGUCGAAAGAUUAGUUAAAUACCGCAUACGACCUGAGGGUGAAAGCGGGGGACCGCAAGGCCUCGCGNUACAGGAGCGGCCGAUGUCUGAUUAGCUAGUUGGUGGGGUAAAAGCCUACCAAGGCGACGAUCAGUAGCUGGUCUGAGAGGACGAUCAGCCACACUGGGACUGAGACACGGCCCAGACUCNUACGGGAGGCAGCAGUGGGGAAUUUUGGACAAUGGGGGCAACCCUGAUCCAGCAAUGCCGCGUGUGUGAAGAAGGCCUUCGGGUUGUAAAGCACUUUUGUCCGGAAAGAAAUGGCUCUGGUUAAUACCCGGGGUCGAUGACGUUACCGGCAGAAUAA
rnacentral:rRNA from 1 species